GCAGGGGAGGAGCGGAGCCUCGCGGGGAGGAGUCUGCAAACUUUCAGUUCAAGGGCAUUGUGGGAAGCAGCCAUGGUCUGAGACUGGCGCCUCACCUGUCAGCCUCAGGGGCUGCUGUGCUCGCCUCUGGCCCCUGCGUCGCCCGCGAUCGUGAUCGCAGCUCUCAGGACAGGGGCAGCGGCUGCGGCCACCAUGAUACAUUUCAUCUUGCUCUUCAGUCGACAAGGGAAACUGCGGCUGCAGAAAUGGUACACCACGCUCCCUGACAAAGAGAGGAGAAAGAUCACCCGGGAAAUCAUCCAGAUCGUCCUUUCUCGUGGUCACAGGACAAGCAGCUUUAUUGACUGGAAAGAGCUGAAACUUGUUUAUAAAAGGUAUGCUAGUUUAUAUUUUUGCUGUGCAAUAGAAAAUCAAGACAAUGAGCUCUUGACACUAGAAAUAGUACAUCGUUAUGUGGAGUUGCUGGACAAAUACUUUGGAAAUGUCUGUGAGCUGGAUAUUAUCUUUAAUUUUGAAAAGGCCUAUUUUAUCCUUGAUGAGUUUAUAAUAGGCGGAGAAAUUCAAGAAACAUCCAAGAAAACUGCUGUCAAGGCCAUUGAAGACUCUGAUAUGUUACAAGAGCAGGUCAAGAGCCAAGAGGAGUUCAAGAAUUAUAAAGCACCUUUUUAAAAUUGGUGCUAAAGCCAUUCUUCCUGCUAUUGAAAAUAAGAGGCUGAUUAAGGUAAUAAGACAUUAGGCAUGAUUUCCCAGCAACUGUCUUGGCACUAUGAGCUGAUUACUUACUCCUGCCCAUGGAGGGACUCCGUCCUCAGACAAUGGAGGAAUACAUGAACAAGCCUACAUUUUAACUGUCGUCUACUUGAAGAUUCUGAGUGCUACGUGUUGUGAACCUACAAACUGGACUGCAUCCAGGCUCCAUAUAGCCUCUGGCACCAUGCCAAAAAUAAAGGGAUCCUUUUGUUAACUAGAAAAUUAAACUUGUUGGUACAAAAUAUUUAUACUACAUGUUUGUAUUAUGCUGUAUAUGAGUACUUACUGUGGCUCUAGUUGUUCGACAUAAUUGCUGUGCACCUCAACGACUGAGUAAUUGUUUGCAGUGUUUUAGCUUUUUGUGAUAGUUGAAAGGCAAUUUCAAAAAAUUAGUUGCAAUAUAUUUUUGUUGCCAUUUGAUCUUCUACUUGUAGGCUGAAAACUAUUUUGUGAUGAUCCACAAUUUUGAAUGUAAAGUAUAUCUUUUAUCAUUAAUGCCUUUCCUAAAUGUUUAAAAAUGUAUAUUAGUUCAAAUUUAUGUUAAUAGUUCAGAUUUCAUACAUGAUGCUAGACAUUUUUAAUAUUCUUAAUACUAUUAUAAUUUCAGACCAGAUACAAUGUAUCUGACUUUACUACCUUGAAUUUACUUUUUUUUCUGGGUAGGGAUUAUGGAAGCUAACCAAAGAUGAUAUAGAACUUGAUUUUGAUGUCUUAGAAGGUGCUAGGCUGAGGUUUUAAUUUUACUUUUAAUUGAAUAUAAGGGACAUUUCAAUAAGGUUAUAUUUUCUACAAACUAUAUAUUUAUUAAAGUUUUAAGACAUCUGGAGAUACAAUGUCUAUGACAUCUAUUAUUACAAAAAUACUAAGAGAUGAAAGCAAUAGCAUUUGGAUUCUACUACCAUUUUUAAAGUCUCAUGCUCCAAGAGCUCUUUGUUGCUUGAGAGAUUUUGUUUCAAACAUUUUUAAUGUAAGCUGGAUAUAUCAGGCUUGCUUACUUAGGGCAUUCAUUUUGCACCCUAUAUGGGGACGACUUUAGGCCUCCUUUUCCCACAGAAAAUAUUUGCUGCUGACCAUCAUUAUUAUGACUAUGUCACCCUCAUGCUUCCAAAAGGACAGUUCUAUAUAACCAGGUACUAAACAUGCUCAGAUAUUUAGAGGGAAGAAGAAAGUAGCUUAUAAUAGUUGUUCUUGGUACAUGUGUCUGAAAUUUUAUGAGUGCAUUUUCAUUGUUGGUGUUGAGGACUGGAGUCACUCAUACUGGAGUGGUUAGGACCCAUGUGCUUUUUGUGAGACAAGUGUAUGUUUGCUGUUAGAUUCUGUGGGAGAGCUCACAUAGUAAACCCUUAGAGAAGGUGAUGGCAAAGAUCCUGAGUGGUUCAUCUCAUCAGGCAUAGCUGAGGGAAAAUGGCAAGACACCAGGAGAACAGAUAGGAAAAGUGACCAGUUCCUCAGUGUAAGCGUUUAUUGAAAGGAAAUACUGCAGAUUGGCAUAUGAAGUAAUCAUUGGGCUAGUCAUAUCUGAUGUAUUUUCAAAUUAAUAUAAUUAUGGCAUCAGAUUGAAGUUUGCCUUUUUUAAUCAGCUUUGUUUAGCUCUUCUUCAGUUUUGUACUUUAAUUUUUUGAAAAAUCAUGGCAAAACUGUUUUUUAAACAAUUCUGUGAAAAUGGACUUCAUGUAAAUACACCAUGUUUUUUCUGAUUCCUUCCCACUGUUUUUGGAAGACGUUGUCUCUUGAACCUCAUUAAAUGUAACUACAUAUAUUCUGAAUAAUUAUGUACUUGACACUGUCUAACUGGACAGGAAUUCUCAGACCUUCUGUCAAUGCCUACACAGAAAAUGAUAUUUAUAUGUCAUAAUGGGAUAAAUUCAAGGGAUUCAAGGAACAGCUUAUAUGAGCUUUAGUGAAAAUAAUCAUUAUAUUUUCUUUAUAUGAUAUAAUUAUAACAGAAGCAUCAAGUGUAAUGAAAGUUAAUACUCAAUUUGUAUAAAACUUCCAAAUAAAAUGUAAAAAAGUUAAUGAUGAA